UGUGACCGACGAAAAUACCAAGCCUCGAUUUUGCUAACUCGUCCACGAGUUUGAUUUUGAUUUUGAUCGUCAUCCAUGUGUCUGCGUGUUUCGUGAAUGAAGCCGAUCGUAACGGUUGUUCGCGAAAGAUUUUCAAGUGCAAUCCCGUGACCCGCGGCCGCGGGUGAAAUAUAUUAAACGUGGCUCACACGGCGAGGGACAGGGCCGCCGAACUCCAGGCGGAAGUAAGGAGCGCGAUCAGGGUUCUUCAUGGCUGGUGCCCUAGGCCGCCCCAGGGGCACCGCGGUGACACGGUCCUGAUGUCACCACAGACUCAAAUGCGAGGAAAUCAUAGAAACGGAGGACCAACUCAGCAACCACCGCCAGCCACUGUCGUAGUCAGUUCAACGUCCAGUAUGAGACCACCGCCACCGCCACCGCCCCCCAGGGCUAGAGCCUCCAACGAGGGCAAAGGCCACCACGAAGAACCGACCAGCUCCAUUCCUGAUCUCGGUAAUCUAGGAAUAUCUGAUGCUG
rnacentral:misc_RNA from 1 species